UCCUGAAGGAACGUUAAAGACGAUGACGUUGAUAGGUCGGGUGUGUAAGCGUAGCGAUACGUUGAGCUAACCGAUACUAAUGAACCGUGAGGCUUAACCUUACAACGCCGAAGGUGUUU
rnacentral:rRNA from 1 species